AUGCGAGUUUUUGUAGUAAUACAAGGCAUACGGCUCAGUAACACGUAGUCAACCUACCCUACGGAUGAGGAUAAUCUCGGGAAACUGAGCAUAAUACUCGAUAGACCAUAAUGCCUGGAAUGGUUUAUGGUUGAAAUGAUUCGUUCGCCAUAGGAUGGGACUGCGGCCUAUCAGCUUGUUGGUGAGGUAAUGGCCCACCAAGGCGAUUACAGGUACGGGCUCUGAGAGGAGAAGCCCGGAGAUGGGUACCGAGACACGGACCCAGGCCCUAUGGGGCGCAGCAGGCGAGAAAACUUUGCAAUGUGCGAAAGCACGACAAGGUUAGUCCGAGUGAUUUCUGCUAAAGAGAUCUUUUGCAAGUUCUAAAACCACUAGUGAAUAAGGGGUGGGCAAGUUCUGGUGUCAGCCGCCGCGGUAAAACCAGCACCUCAAGUGGUCAGGAGGAUUAUUGGGCCUAAAGCAUCCGUAGCCGGCUUUGUUAGUUUUCGGUUAAAUCCAUACGCUUAACGUAUGGGCUGCCGAAAAUACUGCACAGCUAGGGAGUGGGAGAGGUAGACGGUACUCGGUAGGAAGGGGUAAAAUCCUUUGAUCUAUCGAUGACCACCUGUGGCGAAGGCGGUCUACCAGAACACGUUCGACGGUGAGGGAUGAAAGCUGGGGGAGCAAACCGGAUUAGAUACCCGGGUAGUCCCAGCUGUAAACGAUGCAGACUCGAUGAUGCAUUGGCAUAUAGCCAGUGCAGUGUCGCAGGGAAGCCGUUAAGUCUGCCGCCUGGGAAGUACGUACGCAAGUAUGAAACUUAAAGGAAUUGGCGGGGGAGCACCACAAGGGGUGAAGCCUGCGGUUCAAUUGGAUUCAACGCCGGA
rnacentral:rRNA from 1 species